CCCCCCCCCGGACACCCAACUACAACCACCAUGUGGCGAAUCAAGAGCAAUUUAAAGGAGGUACAGCUCCUUUAAAAAAGAAUACAACCUCCCCUAGCGGAUAACUACCCAACUGACCCUAGACUGUAGGCCCUCAAGCAGCCAUCAACAAAGAAUGCGUCAAAGCUCUACCCCAAAAAAAUUCAAAAACAACAGGACUCCCUUAUCUAUAACGGGCCAACCUAUAACAAUAGGAGAAUCAAUGCUAAAAUGAGUAAUCAGGGACCACCCUCUCAAGCGCAAGCUUACAUCACCACAUUAUUAACAAGCCUCAAACUAAUACCCCCAACCCCAAACAAGCCAAAUAUUAAACUUGCCCUGUUAGCCCAACUCAGGAGCGCCCAUUAGAAAGAUCCAAAUCUGCAAAAGGAACUAGGCAACCUCAAGGCCCGACUGUUUACCAAAAACAUAGCCUUCAGCCAGCCAAGUAUUGGAGGUGAUGCCUGCCCAGUGACACUCUGUUCAACGGCCGCGGUAUCCUAACCGUGCGAAGGUAGCGCAAUCAAUUGUCCCAUAAAUCGAGACUUGUAUGAAUGGCUAAACGAGGUCUUAACUGUCUCUUGCAGACAAUCAAUGAAAUUGAUCUUCCUGUGCAAAAGCAGGAAUAAACCCAUAAGACGAGAAGACCCUGUGGAACUUAAAAAUCAGCGGCCACCCCACACAACCCAAAACCUACCAGGCCUACGACCCCAAGUAAAACACUGGCCCGCAUUUUUCGGUUGGGGCGACCUUGGAGAAAAGCAGAUCCUCCAAAAACAAGACCACACAUCCUGACCAAGAACAACCCCUCAACGUACCAACAGCAACCAGACCCAAUAUAAUUGAUCAAUGGACCAAGCUACCCCAGGGAUAACAGCGCAAUCCCCUCCAAGAGCCCAUAUCGACAAGGGGGUUUACGACCUCGAUGUUGGAUCAGGACACCCUAAUGGUGCAGCCGCUAUUAAGGGCUCGUUUGUUCAACGAUUAACAGUCCUACGUGAUCUGAGUUCAGACCGGAGCAAUCCAGGUCGGUUUCUAUCUAUGACGGGCUUUUCCUAGUACGAAAGGACCGGAAAAGCAAGGCCCAUACUACAGGCAUGCCUUCCCUCUAAGUAGUGAACCCAACUAAACUACCAAACAGGACACACCAUUUUACCCAUCCUAGAAAAGGAUC
rnacentral:rRNA from 1 species